AGCCUUUGUGUUGCCCGUUCACUUUUGGUCACUAGUGAACGUGGUGUCAAAAAAGGCAUAAAUAAAAUGCUUGGCGGCCUGUCCUUACCCUGGAGUUUGGUACCUUGGGUGCAGGCGCUGCGUAAGUAACAGUC